rnacentral:rRNA from 1 species
AGAGUUUGAUCCUGGCUCAGGAUGAACGUGGGCGGUGUGCCUAAUACAUGCAAGUCGAACGGAGUUAAUAGCAAUAUUGACUUAGUGGCGAACGGGUGAGUAACGCGUUAGUGAUCUGCCUCGAAGUGUGGAAUAACGUUCCGAAAGGAUCGCUAAUACCGCAUGUGCUCUCGAUUUUUAGAAAGUUGAGAGUAAAGGAUUUAUUCGCUUCGAGAGGAGCCUGCGUCCCAUCAGCUGGUUGGUAGGGUAACGGCCUACCAAGGCUAUGACGGGUAGGGGACCUGAGAGGGUGGCCCCCCACAAUGGAACUGAAACACGGUCCAUACACCUACGGGUGGCAGCAGUAGGGAAUAUUAGAAAUGGACGAAAGUCUGAUCUAGCAACACCGCGUGUGCGAAGAAGGCCUUCGGGUCGUAAAGCACUUUUUGGAAGGAAUAGGAAGGAAUGUACUUCCAGAAUAAGUCUCGGCUAACUACGUGCCAGCAGCCGCGGUAACACGUAGGAGGCAAACGUUAUCCGGAUUUACUGGGCGUAAAGCGCGUGUAGGUGGUACUGUAAGUAGGGCGUGAAAGCUCCCGGCUCAACUGGGAGAGGCCGUUCUAAACUGCAGAACUAGAGGAUGGUAGAGGGAGGUGGAAUUCCAGGUGUAGCGGUGGAAUGCGCAGAUAUCUGGAGGAACACCAGUGGCGAAGGCGGCCUCCUGGACCAUUCCUGACACUCAGACGCGAAAGCUAGGGUAGCAAACGGGAUUAGAGACCCCGGUAGUCCUAGCCCUAAACGAUGUAGACUAGGCGUCGGUGGUUUAAUCACCAUCGGUGUCCAAGCUAACGCGAUAAGUCUACCGCCUGGGGACUACGGCCGCAAGGUUAAAACUCAAAUGAAUUGACGG